rnacentral:rRNA from 1 species
UACGUAGGGGGCAAGCGUUGUCCGGAAUUACUGGGCGUAAAGCGCGCGCAGGCGGUUUUCCAAGUCAGUGGUGAAAGCCCAGAGCUCAACUCUGGAAUUGCCAUUGAAACUGGUGAACUUGAGUACGAGAGAGGUGAGUGGAAUUCCCAGUGUAGAGGUGAAAUUCGUAGAUAUUGGGAAGAACACCGGUGGCGAAGGCGGCUCACUGGCUCGUUACUGACGCUCAGGCGCGACAGCGUGGGGAUCAAACAGG